rnacentral:rRNA from 1 species
UUACACAUGCAAGUCGAACGGCAGCACGGACUUCGGUUUGGUGACGAGUGGCGAACGGGUGAGUAACAUAUCGGAACGUAUCCAAUAAUGGGGGAUAACUAAUCGAAAGGUUGGCUAAUACCGCAUACGCCCUCCGGGGGAAAGCUAGGGACCUUCGGGCCUGGCGUUAAUGGAGCGGCCGAUAUCUGAUUAGCUAGUUGGUGGGGUAAAGGCCCACCAAGGCGACGAUCAGUAGCUGGUCUGAGAGGACGACCAGCCACACUGGAACUGAGACACGGUCCAGACUCCUACGGGAGGCAGCAGUGGGGAAUUUUGGACAAUGGGCGCAAGCCUGAUCCAGCCAUUCCGCGUGAGUGAAGAAGGCCUUCGGGUUGUAAAGCUC